CUGGGAUAAGCCUGGGAAACUGGGUCUAAUACUGGAUACGACCGAUCUCCGCAUGGAGUGUUGGUGGAAAGUUUUUGUGGUGGGGGAUGGACUCGCGGCCUAUCAGCUUGUUGGUGGGGUAAUGGCCUACCAAGGCGACGACGGGUAGCCGGCCUGAGAGGGCGACCGGCCACACUGGGACUGAGACACGGCCCAGACUCCUACGGGAGGCAGCAGUGGGGAAUAUUGCACAAUGGGCGAAAGCCUGAUGCAGCGACGCCGCGUGAGGGAUGACGGCCUUCGGGUUGUAAACCUCUUUCACCAGGGACGAAGCUAACGUGACGGUACCUGGAGAAGAAGCACCGGCUAACUACGUGCCAGCAGCCGCGGUAAUACGUAGGGUGCGAGCGUUGUCCGGAAUUAUUGGGCGUAAAGAGCUUGUAGGCGGUUUGUCGCGUCUGCUGUGAAAGACCGGGGCUUAACUCCGGUUCUGCAGUGGGUACGGGCAGACUAGAGUGUGGUAGGGGAGACUGGAAUUCCUGGUGUAGCGGUGAAAUGCGCAGAUAUCAGGAGGAACACCGAUGGCGAAGGCAGGUCUCUGGGCCAUUACUGACGCUGAGAAGCGAAAGCAUGGGGAGCGAACAGGAUUAGAUACCCUGGUAGUCCAUGCCGUAAACGUUGGGCGCUAGGUGUGGGACUCAUUCCACGAGUUCCGUGCCGCAGCUAACGCAUUAAGCGCCCCGCCUGGGGAGUACGGCCGCAAGGCUAAAACUCAAAGGAAUUGACGGGGGCCCGCACAAGCGGCGGAGCAUGCGGAUUAAUUCGAUGCAACGCGAAGAACCUUACCAAGGCUUGACAUACACCGGAAUCAUGCAGAGAUGUGUGCGUCUUCGGACUGGUGUACAGGUGGUGCAUGGUUGUCGUCAGCUCGUGUCGUGAGAUGUUGGGUUAAGUCCCGCAACGAGCGCAACCCUCGUUCCAUGUUGCCAGCACUUCGGGUGGGGACUCAUGGGAGACUGCCGGGGUCAACUCGGAGGAAGGUGGGGAUGACGUCAAAUCAUCAUGCCCCUUAUGUCUUGGGCUUCACGCAUGCUACAAUGGCCGGUACAGAGGGUUGCGAAACCGUGAGGUGGAGCUAAUCCCAAAAAACCGGUCUCAGUUCGGAUUGGGGU
rnacentral:rRNA from 1 species